rnacentral:rRNA from 1 species
UACGUAGGGUGCAAGCGUUGUCCGGAAUUAUUGGGCGUAAAGAGCGUGUAGGCGGCCCGAUUAGUCCGCUGUGAAAGUCCAGGGCUCAACCCUGGAAUGCCGGUGGAUACUGUCGGGCUAGAGUCCGGAAGGGGCGAGUGGAAUUCCUGGUGGAGCGGUGAAAUGCGCAGAUAUCAGGAGGAACACCAAUGGCGAAGGCAGCUCGCUGGGACGUGACUGACGCUGAGACGCGAAAGCGUGGGGAGCAAACAGG